rnacentral:rRNA from 1 species
AAAUUGAAGAGUUUGAUCAUGGCUCAGAUUGAACGCUGGCGGCAGGCCUAACACAUGCAAGUCGAACGGUAACAGGAAACAGC